UACGUAGGGGGCUAGCGUUGUCCGGAAUCAUUGGGCGUAAAGCGCGUGUAGGCGGCUCGGUAAGUCCGCUCUGAAAGUCCAGGGCUCAACCCUGGGAUGCGGGUGGAUACUGCCGGGCUCGAGUCCGGAAGAGGCGAGUGGAAUUCCCGGUGUAGCGGUGAAAUGCGUAGAUAUCAGGAGGAACACCGGUGGCGAAAGCGCUCAUCUGGCCCAAUACUGACGCUGAGGCGCGAAAGCUAGGGGAGCAAACGGG
rnacentral:rRNA from 1 species